GGGAAUCCCAGAGUUUAUACAAGAUACAAGAAAAAGGGCAAUUCAUCUUUCACCGUGGUGUUUUGAAUCUCGCUUCAGCUUCUCAAUAUCAACAUGGAUUCCACUCUUCUCCUGAAUCUUCUUUUACAGCUGGUGCUUAUGGGCGCAGUGUGCGGCAUCCCUCACUGUAAACCUGACUGUGAGCUAACCAGUGAAUAUCACCGGUCGGACUUCAAACAUAUCUCAGAGUUCCAAAACUCUUCGGUGGCACCCUGGAAAAUGAGUGUUGACGCUGUAGAUAACAGGGAACCUUCAUUCAUCGAGUAUGCUGAAUGCAAGGAUUGCACUUUGAAGAACCUGGUCUCCAAGCCUAUCAUGAUCCAGGUUUUCGUCUUUGAGAAGAUACGCAUCAUGACUGGAUCUGCCUGGUGCAAGUGUCCCUUUAAUCUGGCUGUGGGAUGUACAUGUGUCGAGAAACAAUGAUGAAUUGAUGUAUCUUAUUGCCAUGCAAUAACUCUAUAAUAUGUUCUUUUCACCUGCAAAUUCAUAAGAGGCUUUGUUGGGGAUUCUGAUUUUGUGGAGAGAAAUGUUAUGUUACCUACUUUACAUUUUUGUUGUAUCAUGUAGUGUGCAACAAGUACUUACUACUUUAGUAUAAACUACAGAAUAUUUGUGUUUAAUACAAAUGUGAAAACUA